CAGCACUGAUUUUGUCUCCUGCUGCUCCUGAUGGGACUCCUUGGAUGGGGCCCUGCACUGACACAUCACUUCACCUUGUCUGGCUGUCACUGGACUGUCACCACACUGUGGGGCUGUGUUUUGCUGGAGAAAUAGCCAAGUAUUGCUGUGAUACAUCCAGAGAGACAAGGAGGUCAUCAUGCCUACCACCUUCAGGGAGAUGCUGGUACCCAGAUAUGUUUGCUCUAGAAAAAGCACCAGCUCCUUUUGCUACCAGAUGUCCUCUUUGGCAGUUUGAGUCAACGAGGAGCGAAGUGAUGAAGAAUGAAUGCAGUCUUCAACCGGAGGCCUCAGGUCCCAAGCGGCAGCGGUGGAGGCAGCAGAAGGGAAGUUCUCUAUUGCUGCUGCCUGCUGGGGUUUGGAGUUGAUGUCAGUUCCUACUUACGUUGCUUGUCACCAGAAUCCACCAGAGCCACUUGUGUGAAUCUUCUCAUGUUCAGCAAACUUCCUCUGUUGGCUCCACACAGGUCUCCUGGAGUGCUGCUUGCAACCUUCACUGAGGGGUCUGUGGGUAUGAAGGCUAUGUGUCAUUUUACUUCAGCACCACUAUAACCUUGGGCAGCAAAAGUUCCCUCCAGCUUUCAUUUCACUUACAGCAACAGUGCUAAAUAGGAUUGCCCCAAAUGGUCAGCUCUGGACUUAGCAAACUGAUUUAAGGGCUGGUGACUCUCAGAUUUCAGCAUCAUUUAGAUGUGUUUUUGUUGUUGUGUGUGUUUGUUUUAAUGUAUUCAUUUUUGAAGUAUUUGCAUUUCCUGCACAAGACUUGGAUUUCAAUGUUUCAGUUUUCUGGAACGCUUUCUCCCAUUCAGCUUAAGAUAACUUAAAGAAGACAAAUUUGCUUCUGUGCUUUAAUCCAGAGGCUUAAGUAGGUAUAAAAAGACUGCAUGCAGUGACCCCCAGGAAUUCAGUUAUGUGACUUAGACUUGGAACAGCCAAAUUCUCUCCCUGCCCCUUCCCUAGACUUUGCCAUCAUAAAAUCUGCAGCUAUUCUGCACUUGUUACUGUGAUCGAAUGCUCCCUAGCAGUCUGGAAAAUAUGGCCAUCAUGUGUAAGCGCUUACUACGGUAAGCUUGGUACUUAGCGUUGCCACAUCAAGGAAGCUAAUCCUCUAUAAAGCAGCUGCUUCCCUCAGCUCUGCUAGCAAAAACGUCCUUGGGCUUUAGCUUUGUGUUACAUCUCCACGCCUGUUGCGGGAUACGACGGUGGCAGCAGUAAUUACGAACUAGACCCUCACGAGUCCGAAUGGCAGAUGCGUGCACCUUCCCCCACUAACAUCUCCCAGGACAGCCUUCACGUUGUGGCAAAGCUUAACCCGGGCCGUAGCACCCCAUAUUUCGGCGUGCUCGCCCCCAAGCAGCCCCCCCACCACCUCAGGAGGCCGGGUGCCUGAGGCGGCCUCCCCCGGAGGCUGAGGCGGCGCUCGGCCUCCCCCUGGCGGCCUCGACCGGCAGCGUUGCGGCCUUUGUCCCCAGCCUGAGGGCAGCCUCCAGGCCUGAGGGCUCCGGGGCUGCUCCCUCCUGCCCCCAAGGCCA